rnacentral:rRNA from 1 species
AUGUCUCCAAUUUUUUUUCAGACGUCCAUAAUACUCCGUUUGCAUCUGUUUUACGAUGGCAGACAGUUUUGUGUGGGUGUACUGUUUUACGAUGGGAUUUGUGUGUGUGUGUGUGUGUGUGUGUGUGUGUGUGUGUGUGUGUACUUUUUGCAUCUGUUUUAUGAUGGCAGACAGCUUUGCCAUCCGUUUCAUAAGUUUGCAGAAUACUACUCCCUCCGUUUUACGAUGGCAGACAGUUUUACAGAGCGAGUAGAUUUUCUCCCUUUGAUAGGUCUCUGUGUUAAUUGCCACUUAAUAAAUCAACUAAAGCAAGAUGCAUCUAUAUAG